rnacentral:rRNA from 1 species
UACGUAGGGCGCAAGCGUUAUCCGGAAUUAUUGGGCGUAAAGAGCUCGUAGGCGGUUUGUCGCGUCUGCCGUGAAAGUCCGGGGCUCAACUCCGGAUCUGCGGUGGGUACGGGCAGACUAGAGUGAUGUAGGGGAGACUGGAAUUCCUGGUGUAGCGGUGAAAUGCGCAGAUAUCAGGAGGAACACCGAUGGCGAGGGCAGGUCUCUGGGCAUUAACUGACGCUGAGGAGCGAAAGCGUGGGGAGCAAACAGG